rnacentral:rRNA from 1 species
AUUGAACGCUGGCGGCAGGCCUAACACAUGCAAGUCGAACGAAUGGCGGACGGGUGAAUAAUUGCUUGGCACCUGCCUGAUGGACGGGGCUAACUACUGUAAACGGUAGCUACUACCGCAUAACAUCCGAUCUGCCCUGAUGGGAUUAGCUAGUUGGGGGGGUAACGGCUCACCAAGGCGACGAUCCCUAGCUGGUCUGAGAGGAGUACCAGCCACACUGGAACUGAUACACGGUCCAGACUCCUACGGGAGGCAGCAGUGGGGAAUAUUCGACAAUGGGCGCAAGUCUGAUGGAGCCAUGCCGCGUGGAUGAAGAAGGCCUUCGGAGUGUAAAGUUCUGUUGUCGGGGAAGCGGUACCCGCAGAGGAAGCACCGGCUAACUCCGUGCCAGCAGCCGCGGUAAUAC